rnacentral:piRNA from 2 species
GAUUUGCUGAAGGAGGCAGAGGCAGGAGGA